rnacentral:tRNA from 1 species
GGGGAUUUGGCUCAAUGGUAGAGCGCUUGCCUAGCAAGCACAAGGCCCUGGGUUCAGUCCCCAGCUCCCA